AUUCAAAAUUUUCUUCAUUGCCAACACAGCCCAAGAACCCAGAAUCAAUAAUUCACACGAUGUCAAGUACUUAAGCAUCAUCAAACCUUUUCUUUUCUACACUAUGCCAAGCAUAAUUUUCCAUAUACACUCAUCAUCAUUCAAACACACAAUAACUCAUCAAUUCACACCAGCAAGCUCAGCAACAAAAGUAACACCAUUUAUUCUAUCCCUUACAACAUUCAGUAAGCACAAUCAUCAAAUCAAUCACCAACUACAGUUAUAAUUCAACUCAAUUCCAUCCAUAUCAGAGAAAACAAUAUCAAUUACAACUUCAAACACUCACAACAAAGCCCAAAGACAUUCGCAGCCUUAACCUGAAUUCAAUAAUCCAAUGGAAGCACUAACACAUCAUCAAACUCACUCCAAAUUUCACAACCUCAACCAUCAUCACAAUAAUCCCAAACCAAACACAAAUCUAACUCAGCUCAUCAAUUAUCAUUACGACAACUUUUCAAUAGUUAACUCAUCAAAUUUCAAUUUAACAAGUAUUAUCAAAUGAAUCACCAUUCACAGCCACAAUUAAUUCCAGUCACAGCUCAAAAUAUUCACAACAACUAACAAAUUUCAAAUGCAUUUUAGGUCGUUCAUGACAAUUAAGAAAUUCUAAACCAUUGUUAACCAUUUGCACUCAUUCAAAUAACUUGGUGGGCAUU
rnacentral:lncRNA from 1 species